rnacentral:rRNA from 1 species
AUUGAACGCUGGCGGCAGGCUUAACACAUGCAAGUCGAGCGGGGAUAUGUAGCUUGCUAUAUAUCCUAGCGGCGGACGGGUGAGUAAUGCUUAGGAAUCUGCCUAUUAGUGGGGGACAACAUUUCGAAAGGGAUGCUAAUACCGCAUACGCCCUAAGGGGGAAAGCAGGGGAUCUUCGGACCUUGCGCUAAUAGAUGAGCCUAAGUCGGAUUAGCUAGUUGGUGGGGUAAAGGACUACCAAGGCGACGAUCUGUAGCGGGUCUGAGAGGAUGAGCACCCACACUGGGACUGAGAGCCGGCCCAGCCUCCUACGGGAGGCAGCAUUGGGGAAUAUUGGUCAAUGGGGGGAACCCUGAUCCAGCCAUGCCGAGUGUGUGAAGAAGGCCUUUUGGUUGUAAAGCACUUUAAGCGAGGAGGAGGCUACCGAGAUUAAUACUCUUGGAUGGUGGACGUUACUCGCAGAAUAAGCACCGGCUAACUCUGUGCCAGCAGCCGCCGUAA